GACGUAGGGCGCAAGCGUUGUCCGGAUUUAUUGGGCGUAAAGAGCUCGUAGGCGGCUUGUCGCGUCUGCCGUGAAAGUCCGGGGCUCAACUCCGGAUCUGCGGUGGGUACGGGCAGACUAGAGUGAUGUAGGGGAGACUGGAAUUCCUGGUGUAGCGGUGAAAUGCGCAGAUAUCAGGAGGAACACCGGUGGCGAAGGCGGUUCUCUGGGCCUUACCUGACACUGAGGAGCGAAAGCGUGGGGAGCGAACAGG
rnacentral:rRNA from 1 species